AUACGGAGGGUGCAAGCGUUAAUCGGAAUUACUGGGCGUAAAGCGCACGUAGGCGGACUGGAAAGUUGGGGGUGAAAUCCCGGGGCUCAACCCCGGAACUGCCUCCAAAACUUCCAAUCUAGAGAUCGAGAGAGGCGGGUAGAAUUCCUAGUGUAGCGGUAAAAUGCGUAGAUAUUAGGAGGAAUACCAGUGGCGAAGGCGGCCCGCUGGACCAAUACUGACACUGAGGUACGAAAGCGUGGGUAGCAAACAGGAUUAGAAACCCCAGUAGUCC
rnacentral:rRNA from 1 species